GACGAACGCUGGCGGCGUGCUUAACACAUGCAAGUCGAACGGAAAGGUCCUGCUUUUGUGGGGUGCUCGAGUGUCUAAUGGGUGAGUAACAGGUGAGUAACCAGCCCUUGACUUUGGGAUAACUCAAGGAAACUGGGGCUAAUACCGGAUAGGAGAUUCCGCUGCAAGGUGGGGGUUGGAAAUUUUCGGCGGUUGGGGGUGGUCUCGCGGCGUAUCAGCUUGUCGGUGGGGUAGUGGCUUACCAAGGCUUUGACGCGUAGCCGACCUGAGAGGGUGACCGGACACAUUGGGACUGAGAUACGACCCAGCCUCCAACGCGAGGCAGCGGUGCAGAAUAUUACACAAUGCGCGGAAGGAUGAUGCAACGACGCCGCGUGCGGGAUGACAGGCUUCGUGUUGUAAACCGCUUCCGCCUGAGACGAGGCGAGAGUGACGGUAACGGGUAAAGAAGCACCGGCUAACUACGUG
rnacentral:rRNA from 1 species